AUUUUACUUUCUUUGUCUUCUGAUAAACAUUUAUUUUAUGUAACUUCUGAAGGCAGUAGCUACCAAUUACACAAUUAUAUUUACAAAAUUCACACAUCAUCAUCCUGUUCAAAAGUUUAAACCCCCAGCUCUCAUGUCAUUGUGUUGCCUACCUGAGCAUCACUAAAUAUCAUCACCUUUCGUAAUGACUGUGUAUAAAAGAGUCCCUCAGUUGUUCUCAGCCUGAAGAGAUGGAUCUCAAAAUCAUACAGUCACUGUUGGAAAGGAGUAAAAAAUUCAGAAGAUGCUGGAAAGCCAAAGAAUAAAGGACCUGGAGGAUUUUUCUGAAGAACAAUGAGCAGUUGAACUGCACCAGACAAACAAGGUGUUGGAGGAGAGGGCUAAACAUAAACCGGGGGCUGCUAAACAAUAACAAAAACAAGCGGAUGGAACCAGGAGUGAAAUAUGUAAACAGGUCUGGUCACAAGCAUGGUAUGUCUCUCUCUCUCUCUCUGAGAAACAUCAGCAAGGGCAUCUGAAAAAGAACUAGUGACUGAUGGGACAAAAGAAAAAUACAAGACAACCAGCGUGAGUGGGGCUAUUUUUAGUGCAUUCUUUGUUGCUAAAAAAAGACACCCAGGAGACAUUGGGCAUUCUCAAUGUCUUUGUCAGGCUCGUCUGAUAGCUCACAAGAGAGGAGCGUCACAAGCGGCCAAAGGCCAAACUCAUCACCCUCCCCUUUACUGGAGACCUUCUGUUACACAUGCACGGGACCCUCCCCUUACUGGACCCCUUUUACUCCUCUUGCGUCACAGAGGGCUUACUGGAGGGCUGUGUGUUUUCUAAGGGAGGAAUUUCACUGCUCAAAAACAGAGGAAAGGAAAAGUAAAGAUAAAGCAGGAUGAGAUACGAUGGACGGCUGAUUUCGGCAGACGGACAGACAGUGGGAAGGCAAGAAAGAGGGUGAGAACGUAUCGGUGAGAGGAGACAAAAGAUCCUGGAAUGCUCCUCCAACGUCAUCGGUUUGUCCCACUGACUGGGUUUUCAUCGUGACCCCGGGGAUAUGAAACAGGGAAGCCUUUGGAGGGCAUUCUCAUGCUCUCAGUCGUGUGACUAAUGCCAACCAACAUCCGUACCUCUUGCAAAAAUGUGCCAUUUAGUCCCACACAGAAUUGGCUCAAAGAACAAAGAAUGCUAAUCUCUACUUUCCAAUAACUUGGGCAUUUCCAUUGUGUGUUAAGCAAUGAUCCUCCUUAUGUCUUCCCAUCUAAGAGAGCUCCAUAUGUAGAGUAGCCUAUAAUCACA
ensembl:lncRNA